rnacentral:tRNA from 1 species
GGGCAUAUGGUGUAGGGGUUAUCACGUUCGCUUUGCAUUAUAGCUGCGAAAGGUCUCCGGUUCAAAUCCGGAUUUGUCCA